ensembl:lncRNA
CAAAAAUGGUCAUUACUAAAAAUUAAACACUAAUUUAAUUCAUAGUUUUAUUUUUCUAUAGGUUAAGCACCUUUUCGUAAAUAUGGCUGUUUCCCAGUUUUUAUUUUUUUUUGUUUGUUUUUUUAUUUUUUUUUUUUUUUUUUGUUUUUUUUUUAGGAUUUACAUUUAAAAAAAUGAGCCUACUUCAAACAUUUUAAGCAGCUUGAACAAAACCUGUUAAUAUUUAUUAUAGACCACUGUAACUGUCUAUUAUCUAAAAAAAACAAAUUUAUUAUGAAAAUAAAAGUGUGUACACCAGUUAAACUGGACGAUAAAGAAAUUGCUAACAAUAGUUUAAUAGAGCAUGUUUUAGGUUUAUAGGUGUUUAGAUGCAGAAAUUUAAUUUAAUUAAAUAUAGAUUAAUUCUUGUUAGAGCAAAAAAAAAAAAAAAUAAUAAUAAUAAUAAAUACAUGAAUACAUACAAAAAAAGCAGCCAAGACGAAUGAUUUUCUGUUUUUAUAGAUUAAAAUUAAAGACAGAAAGCAGCUGGUAAAUGCAGUCACUUUAAUAUUCAAAUCCAGUAUCAUGAUACACUUCAGAUUUAUUUCUCAACUGUUUAUGUUCACGUGACUGUUUUCGUUUAUAUUCGCCAAGCUAUUAUGUAUUUUGAAAUAACCUUGUUCUUGAUUUGUUCGUUCUUGCCAGAAUCAGCGUCCUCUGGAGCUCGAGAGAUCGAUGUUAUUCUGCCCUUAGACAGUCUCGCGCUGUCAAAUAGUCUUUC